rnacentral:rRNA from 1 species
CCUACGGGUGGCAGCAGUGAGGAAUAUUGGUCAAUGGACGAGAGUCUGAACCAGCCAAGUAGCGUGAAGGAUGACUGCCCUAUGGGUUGUAAACUUCUUUUAUAUGGGAAUAAAACAGGGUAUGCAUACCAUCUUGUAUGUACCAUAUGAAUAAGGAUCGGCUAAAUCCGUGCCAGCAGCCGCGGUAAGAGGGAGGAUCCGAGCGUUAUCCGGAUUUAUUGGGUUUAAGGGGAGCGUAGAUGGAUUGUUAAGUCAGUUGGGAAUGGUUGCGACUCAAGCGUAAAAUUGCAGUUGAAACUGGCAGUCUUGAGUACAGUAGAGGUGGGCGGAAUUCGUGGUGUAGCGGUGAAAUGCUUAGAUAUCACGAAGAACUCCGAUUGCGAAGGCAGCUCACUGGACUGCAACUGACACUGAUGCUCGAAAGUGUGGGUAUCAAACAGGAUUAGAUACCCUGGUAGUC